CUCCUCCUUGUGCGCCAGCUCCGACUCCUCCAGCACCCUCCGUUGCGCCGUCUCCUUCUUCAGGAACUCGAUUUCCUUUUGCUGGUACUCCUUGAUGAGCCGCUUGGCCUUGCUGUACUUGCGCUCCAGGGUCUGGUACUGGGCCUGCGUCUCCUUCAGGUGCUCAUCCACCGCCUGGCACAGGUUCUGUGCCUCCAUCCAGUACCCCUCCAGCUUCUCCAUGCGCUCCUUGUUCUCCUCCACGCUCUGCUCCAGCUGGGCCUUCUCGGCCCGCCACCGUGCCUUCUCC
rnacentral:lncRNA from 1 species